GAACGACCGGACGGUUUCCCCAAAGACGAACGAGGAACAGCAAUAUUCAUUUAGACGAUACAUCAUUUUUAAUAUCUCCUAACGUGGGCCCAUUGAUCAGUGUUUAAUUCCAAGUGAGCGGCGGUGCGUUUGGAACAAGACGAGCUUUCUAAUGUCAGGUGGAAGUACUGUCGCACAUCUGGGGCGGCAGAGAUCCCGCAGCGGUGGACCGAACUUCUGUCGUCCUCUCCUCAGACCGACGGCAGGACAGGGGCUGUGCACACUGGUACCUGAACACCGCUGCGAUGGAGCACAAUGCUCUGCUGCUGUUGCGCUCGACGGAUGCUGCUUGGAUGUGCGUAACGAUGAUGGUCCUGCAUAGUUUUGGAGAGUGACAUUACUGAAGAAUCACACUCUCACACACACACACACACACACACACACACACACACACACACACACACACACACACACACACACACACACACACACACACACACACACACACACACACACACACACACACACACACACACACACACACACACACACA